CCCCUCUUAGGAUCCCACCUGGAGAGUUUCCAGGACUCGACCAGUCUCGGCUAUGGGAGGGAGAGUCAAGCAGAGGCCUAGCCAUUCCAUUCCCAGCUUGGCCAGUGGCUAGGGUGUGGAAGGCAAUCCGCUACAAGU